rnacentral:rRNA from 1 species
CAAUAGCGUAUAUUAAAGUUGUUGCAGUUAAAGAGCUCGUAGUUGGAUUUCGGGGCAGCCUGGCUGGUCCGCCGCAAGGCGAGUACUGGUCAGCCGCCCUUCCUCUCGAAAGCCCCGACUGCUCCUCGUUGCAGUGGUCGGGUAGUUCGGGACGUUUACUUUGAAAAAAUUAGAGUGUUCAAGGCAGGCCUACGCCUGAAUACAUUAGCAUGGAAUAAUGGAAGAGGACCUCGGUCCUAUUUUGUUGGUUUCCAGGGCCGAAGUAAUGAUUAAGAGGGACAGUUGGGGGCAUUCGUAUUUAAUUGUCAGAGGUGAAAUUCUCGGAUUUAUGAAAGACGAACAACUGCGAAAGCAUUUGCCAAGGAUGUUUUCAUUAA